GCACCUAUAGCUCAGAUGGAAGAGCACUGGGCCGCGGACCCAGGUUUGUCGUGGGUUCGAAUCCUGCUAGGUGUACCA
rnacentral:tRNA from 1 species